UCCAUCUCUGCUUGCUCAUAUUCCUGUAUCCUUAAGCCUCAACAAUGUUGGACAUUUUCAUCCUGAUGUUUUUUGCCAUCAUUGGCUUGGUUCUGCUUUCCUACAUCAUUUACAUACUGUGAGGAGUAAUGUAGAACGGAACUCUAUACAUUCUGUAUUUACAGCUGGAUGGAUUAGUUGUCAUCUCCAAAGUUCUGUGAGAUAUGAAACUGAUAACCCAUUGAGUGCCAGUGUGGGUUGCUGUCCAGAAUGCAGAUUACAGUGCUGUAUGCCAGGAUAAGAACAGGCUGUCAGAUGGGAAAGAAGAAAGAUGCUGGUCAUCUGGAAAACAAGGUGGAGAACGGAGAUGGAGUUAUUUAGAAAAAUAUAAAAUCACAUUUCAAAUAUGAUGUUGUUUUCUACAUUUGUUUGGUCGGUGACAAAAUAAGUAAUUACAUCAAAAAUCACUACAUUUAUUUUAAUGCCUCCCUUACAUUAAACACAGUUUAUCUUCGUAUUCCCACGAAUAAAAAAACUAUUGUGUAUCUAAAUAAAAACUGUAAUGCUU